rnacentral:lncRNA from 1 species
CUGGGCGCAAGAUGGCUGCCACCCAGCGCAAGCUCUUCGUUUUUGAGGCGGUGUGGGGACUCUACCGAGGCGAACCGAGCGGGUCUCUUGUGGCUCUGCUCCCCCAGCCUGUGAGCAGCGCCCCGCGACCUUUGCUGAGCCCAGCGCUGCCCAGAACGCGUUCCCCUCUGACCCUGGUCUCGGCAGAGUUGGUGAGAUCUGUUAUCUUGAGAGAAUGCAUUCCAAACUCUCCUGCCCAUUCAUUCCGUAAACUCCGCAGUCCCGGCCCCUUAGAAGAAGGAACUCACAGAGUAGGUGGAGAAUUAUGGAAAACAUCUUUACUGCAGGGGCUGGUGGGCUGGCAGAGGAGGUGGAGGACAGAGUUCUUCAUGCUGCUUCUGUUCCUUUUGGAGACAUCGCAGAUACUUAGUUUCUUCCGGUGAAACAGUGCGGGCAGUGAUGACUGCCCGAAGAAGUUUUCUGGGAAGACUCUCGAAGAGAAUAAAGAGGAAGAAGGGUCGGAGCCUGCCA